UGGGGGAUAUUGCACAAUGGGCGAAAGCCUGAUGCAGCGACGCCGCGUGGGGGAUGAAGGCUUUCGGGUUGUAAACCUCUUUCGCUAUCGAACAAGGCCCGCUUAGGGUGGGUUGAGGGUAGGUGGAGAAGAAGCGCCGGCUAACUACGUGCCAGCAGCCGCGGUAAUACGUAGGGCGCGAGCGUUGUCCGGAAUUAUUGGGCGUAAAGGGCUUGUAGGCGGCUUGUUGCGCCUGCUGUGAAAACGCGGGGCUUAACUUCACGCGUGCAGUGGGUACGGGCAGGCUUGGGUGUGGUGGGGGUGACUGGAAUUCCAGGUGUAGCGGUGGAAUGCGCAGAUAUCUGGAGGAACACCGAUGGCGAAGGCAGGUCACUGGGCCAUUACUGACGCUGAGGAGCGAAAGCAUGGGUAGCGAACAGG
rnacentral:rRNA from 1 species